rnacentral:rRNA from 1 species
GACGGAGGGGGCUAGCGUUGUUCGGAAUGACUGGGCGUAAAGGGUGCGUAGGCGGUUUUUUAAGUGAGGCGUGAAAGCCCUGGGCUUAACCCAGGAAUUGCGUUUCAGACUGAAAGGCUUGAGUACGAGAGAGGUAAGUGGAAUUCCUAGUGUAGAGGUGAAAUUCGUAGAUAUUAGGAAGAACACCAGUGGCGAAGGCGGCUUACUGGCUCGUAACUGACGCUGAGGCACGAAAGCGUGGGGAGCAAACAGG